rnacentral:rRNA from 1 species
CCUACGGGGGGCUGCAGUGGGGAAUAUUGGACAAUGGGGGGAACCCUGAUCCAGCCAUGCCGCGUGUGUGAAGAAGGCCCUCGGGUUGUAAAGCACUUUCAGUGAGGAAGAACGCCUGGUGGUUAAUACCCAUCAGGAAAGACAUCACUCACAGAAGAAGCACCGGCUAACUCCGUGCCAGCAGCCGCGGUAAUACGGAGGGUGCGAGCGUUAAUCGGAAUUACUGGGCGUAAAGCGCGCGUAGGUGGCUUGAUAAGCCGGUUGUGAAAGCCCCGGGCUCAACCUGGGAACGGCAUCCGGAACUGUCAAGCUAGUGUGCAAGAGAGGAAGGUAGAAUUCCCGGUGUAGCGGUGAAAUGCGUAGAGAUCGGGAGGAAUACCAGUGGCGAAGGAGGCCUUCUGGACUGACACUGACACUGAGGUGCGAAAGCGUGGGUAGCAAACAGGAUUAGAUACCCUUGUAGUC